rnacentral:lncRNA from 1 species
CCCGGGCCCCCUUUUAAGCUCUGCCCCAAGGCUCUUGUACUCCAGGUUCUCAGCCAAGCCUUUCCCCUCCCUCCAAGCAGACUAGCUGGGCUGCAGGCAGUUUUUCUCUCCCCCGGGCCUCACUCCAACCGAUCCGUCCGCUCCAGGUCUAGGACCUAGCGUCGGCCUCUUCCUCCUCCUCAGCACCCCCAUCUCACCCGAGGGCCCCCUCUAUUCCCUGUCCCAGCCUGGAAUGACCCUGGUCUCCCUCCCUUCCAUUUUAGGGGGACCUGAGCAGUGGGGGCCUCCAAAUAGGAAAGGCCAGCAGGCGCCGGCAGCACUUCUGCAAGUUACCGCAGCAGUAUCCAGACCAUUACAUGGACAGUGCGUGAUUCAGGACCAAGAGAGAUUUCCGGGAAAGAUGACUCGGCAGCUUUGUGUGGACAGUUUUUCCCAGCGGACCACCACUCCCCAUCUCUGUGAGGUCCAGGCCUCCUCUCCUGCCCUUUCCAUUGGAUGAGUCUGCAGCAGCCCCUGGGGACCGGACCACCUGCUUCAGGACCAUAGGACUCCUUUCGCCACAAGAGGUCAUGGUUCCCAACCUGCACUCACAGGCAUUGGGCGGUAACUUCUGCUUGGUGACACCCCAAAAUGGCCGACGUGAUUUCAUCUCCAAGUGAUAAUCAGUCCAACAGAAAGCUUCUUGGGUAAUAAAGGCUGAGGAAUAGCUACAAAAUAAAUGUGACUGGAGCAACCCACUUUCCAG